rnacentral:snoRNA from 1 species
CCCUUCUCAGGGUCACACGUGGAGAGUUUCCAGUGCUCUACCAAUCUUGACUAUGGGAGGGAGAGUCAAGCAGAGGCCUACCCAUUCCAUUCCUAGCUUGGGCAGUGGCUAGCGAGUGGAAGUCAACCUGCUACAAGU